UCUGUUUAUUAAAGUGCAAAGUGGACGAUUUUGUAAAAGCGCUGAAAUAAACGAUUGCAGUUAAAAUGGAGUCUUUGGCAUUGAUUAAGAAAGAGGAUGCUGUUGAAAGCGCAAGAAUAUGUCGAUGGUGCCUGUCGCACUGUGAUGCUUUGAAUCUUCUAUCGAACGACAAAUCAGGACAAUAUAAACUUCAAAAAAUUUUCCAUUUCACCGGUCUUCAGAUUAAUUUCUUACCUGUAGUUCCAUCGUAUUUGUGCACGACGUGUGAAGCGCGCUUGAAAAAGAUGGAUCGGUUUCGCUGGCAAUGCAAUGAAAAGAAUGAUUUGGUCGAUAAAUUGAUCGAACAGCAAAAUAUAGCAAAGUACGAAUCAGAAAUCACUCAAGACCAUCUUGAUUACUCUGCCGAACAAAUGGUUUUCACAGAAUUGUCAAUUAAAACCGAAGUUUCCUCGCCGGAUACAGCGAAGGAUUUGCACUUGAAUCAGAAGAGUGGUACUGUUCAUCAAGCGAACAGGACAAAUGAAUGUGGCAAUUCACCUGAUGAUUUAUUCGAUGCAGAUGAAAACCCAAUUACAAUCAAGUUAGAGUAUGAAGAGGUCGAUGAGCUGCAUC